rnacentral:rRNA from 1 species
GGCUCAGGACGAACGCUGGCGGCGUGCCUAAUACAUGCAAGUCGAACGGCUUUUCUAUGGAAGCUUGCUUCCACUGAGAAGAUAGUGGCGAACGGGUGAGUAACACGUGGGUAACCUGCCCAUAAGAGGGGGGAUAACAUCCGGAAACGGGUGCUAAUACCGCAUAGUUUUCUUGAUCGCAUGAUCGGGAAAGGAAAGACGGCCUUUGUGCUGUCGCUUAUGGAUGGACCCGCGGCGUAUUAGUUAGUUGGUGAGGUAACGGCUCACCAAGACGAUGAUACGUAGCCGACCUGAGAGGGUGAUCGGCCACAUUGGGACUGAGACACGGCCCAAACUCCUACGGGAGGCAGCAGUAGGGAAUCUUCCGCAAUGGACGAAAGUCUGACGGAGCAACGCCGCGUGAGUGAAAGAAGGUUUUCGGAUCGUAAAACUCUGUUGUCAGAGAAGAACAAGUUGGAGAGUAACUGCUCCAGCCUUGACGGUAUCUGACCAGAAAGCCACGGCUAACUACGUGCCAGCCGCCGC